CUUUGUUUUUCUGCACUGUCUGAGCUCCAUCAGAUAAUGGAACUGCUGAGCUCUCUGUUCUGCCACUCCACAUUGAUGGAUUUCAUGGCAGAGUAACACUUUGGAAAUGAAAGUUUCUCUUCUACUUCCUAAGUGAGGGAGACCCAGAAUCCAAGAAAGGAUCCUUGGCUCAGGAAAUCAUCUGCCAUCGGUGGCCAGGGGCAGCUGGAGCGUCAACAUCUAACCUGUGGGAAGAUGUACCCUCUGCAAUAGGCCCCUCUGCCCCAUCCCCAGAAGUCCCCAAAAGUUUCCAGGAGUGUCAACAGAUGGGGGAGGGAUCAGCCACUCUCACCCUCUGAACUGUGAGGGUUUCUCUUCCCAUUUCUCUAGGAAGCAGUGGCCAUGUUGUUGCCCAAAGCAGAUGUCAAAAGAGAAACUUAGAAGAGGCUUCUGAGACUAGCAACCCUCCCACUCAGGAUGGAACCAAAUUCAGGGAGCACGUCUCCCCACACAGCUGAAAUUAAUGCAGAGGUGAACGCCUUCUCCCUCGGAAGCAGAGCAAGAAUGAUUCUUGAUUACACUGAGCCUAUGGAACAGCCCCCACUGUUCAAGAGCCAAGAUUAGUGUGAAGCACCUCUCAAUCAUUUAAGAUUUGAUUGUUUAACAUGAGGCUGGGUGGGUUCGUCUCAGUGCUGAUGUCAACAAUCGACCCCAUCGUCCACAUGGCUCCCUGGGUUGCACCAUGAGCCAGCCACUGCUGCUUCUGGGUGCCAGGCUGUCCGGCAAAUCCUCUGACCCCCGUCUCUCCCUUCUAGAUUUUUCUGAGCUGCCACUUCCUCUCACCCUCCAGGCAGGCAGAGCCUGAAACCCCCUCUCUCAGAAAGGGUUGCAUCAAACUCAUUUGAUGCACACAAAUUCACCGAGGGAGAAUCCUUUGACAAGCAGGCUCUGGGGCCCUGGGGCUGGGGCUUGAGAGCCUGGGUCUCUAACACACCCAGCAG
rnacentral:lncRNA from 1 species